rnacentral:rRNA from 1 species
AUUGAACGCUGGCGGCAGGCCUAACACAUGCAAGUCGAGCGAGCGGCGGACGGGUGAGUAAUGUAUGGGGACUGCCCGCUAGAGGGGGGUAACUACUGGGAACGGUAGCUAAUACCGCCUACUAUCGGAUAAUCCAUAUGGGAUUAGCUAGUUGGUGGGGUAAUGGCUCACCUAGGCAACGAUCCCUAGCUGGUCUGAGAGGAAGAUCAGCCACACUGGGACUGAGACACGGCCCAGACUCCGACGGAGGCAGCAGUGGGGAAUAUUGCACAAUGGGGGAAAGCCUGAUGCAGCCAUGCCGCGUGUAUGAAGAAGGCCUUAGGGUUGUAAAGUACUUUCAGCCGGGAGGCGUUACCGGCAGAAGAAGCACCGGCUAACUCCGUGCCAGCCGCCGCGGUAAUAC